rnacentral:rRNA from 1 species
AGCGAACGCUGGCGGCGUGCCUAACACAUGCAAGUCGAACGUGAAAGGGAGCAAUCCCAAGUAAAGUGGCGUACGGGUGAGUAACACGUAGGUAAUCUACCCCAGAAUCUGGAAUAACCGGCCGAAAGGCUGGCUAAUACUGGAUAGAGCGACGGAAUCCGUAAUUGGGUUUUUCGGGAAAGGGAGCCUGUAAAACGGCCUUCGUUCUGGGAUGAGCCUGCGUCCCAUCAGCUAGUUGGUGAGGUAAAAGCUUACCAAGGCAAUGACGGGUAGCUGGUCUGAGAGGACGAUCAGCCACACUGGAACUGAAACACGGUCCAGACUCCUACGGGAGGCAGCAGUGGGGAAUCUUGCGCAAUGGACGAAAGUCUGACGCAGCAACGCCGCGUGAGUGAAGAAGGCCUUCGGGUUGUAAAGCUCUGUCGAGUGGGACGAAAAUGCUUGGAGUUCACAGCUCCAGGAACUGACGGUACCACUAAAGGAAGCACCGGCUAACUCCGUG